rnacentral:lncRNA from 1 species
CUAAAAUCCUCAUCACCUCCCUCGUGGUUCCUGGGGGUGUGCCUGAAGUUUGAGGGUCAGAGCAGGAAGUGAGGGGCCAGCCAGACCCGAGGAGACCAAGCUGUGUGCUUGCUGCCCUCUGACCCCUGGGGCGGAGGGCAGGGGCCUCCUUCCACGGAAGGGACUCCUGUUGGGAGGCAGUCUAGGCUUUUGCUUUCUUUCUCUGCCCUUGGGCCCACCAGCAGUAGGCUAAUGUGCUUUCUGUGUUUCCACGAGAAGGUGGCUGAAGGCAGGAUCUCCCAGACUUUGAUCAGGAAGAGUCUUUGCUGGCAGCGCAUCUAUCAAUGUCUCCAGAACAACGUUCCUCAUGGCACACUGAUCGAACGUGCAUUAUUCACAAUAGCGAAGACAUGGAAACAGCCUAAGUGUCCAUUGUCAGAUGAAUGGAUAAAGAAAAUGUGGUAUAUAUACACAAUGGAAUAUUACUCAGCCAUAAAAGAAGGAAAUUCUGCCAUUUCCAACAAUAUAGAUGGACCUUGAGGGCGUUAUGCUAAGUGAUGUUCCCGUCCUCCUUUGACAACAGUGCCUUCAAGGGCGGGCCCUCAUAUCAAACUGCCUUCUUUGCUCUCAGUAUGAACCCAGUACAAGCAACCCUAACGCUGCCUUGAGCACAAGCGUCUUGAUGGAGGUCAUCUCUGCUGAUCCCCUCCACGUCCUCCUGAACUCUCACUACUCCAUGUUCAUAUUCCCACACAGCCAGCACCCUACUGAUGCUGCCCCUGGUAAGGCCACCAGGGACCUCCUAACUGCCAAAUCUGAAGGGUUAUCUCUGGACCUGACCACGCUGGGCCUCUACUCACUGGAAGUGGCUGAUCUUUCCCACCACGUGGACCCUGCGGCCCCCACGCCCUGCAUUCCUCCUGCCGCUCUGGCUAAAAGGCUUCGGGCUUUUUUGGUGACCCUCCUUGCACACUCCACCCUUAACCUCCCUCUCUUCUCAUUCUACCAAGGCUUCUUCCACUUCUUUUUUCAAGGACACCUUUGAAAAUUUGCUGAAAGGGAUGGGAAGAGUUUCCCCAAAACAAAAUAAAACUCUGUAUUCACAGACACAUAAUAUUUUAAGUCACUUCAAGAGGCCUCUGGACAUCCUGAAGCCACAUUGGCCCUCUGCUCUCCUUUCUCAACUGGGGGAUGGCAACCACUCCCAGGCUUCAAGUGUCACCGGUGUGUUGAUGGCUCUCAAAUGUGUACCUGGAGCAGCCACCAUUCUCCAAAACUCUAAUCGUGCAUCCCCAAUUGCCCACUAGAAAUCUCUGUUCUCUCACAGCUCCUCCUGCUCCACGUGUUCAAAACCAGCCUGAGCAUCCCGCAGCCCCGUCUGACUUCUUCUCUGAGUGGAUGAUGCUGCUGUUCGGCCCGGUCACCGAGAGGAACGUGCUCUUCCUCUCCCUCCUGUUGCAGCGUCUGAGCUUCAGGCACCUCUCACCUCUUACCUGGGCUCCUGGAGGAGCUUCUGUUUGGUCUGCCCGACUCCCGCGUUGCCCCUUCAAAUCCCCCCUCCACUCCGCAGCCACCAUGACCCUCGCUGACCCCCGCUCUGCUGACGGCAGGUGCCCCCAAGUGUGUUUCCAAGAAGACGCAGUCAGUGUGCUGUAUUCAGUGUUAUAUGAACACAAAGGUUUUCAUGGUCAAUGAAGUUGGAGAAAAGAGGGAAAAUUAGUUAGGUUUAAUUACUUUCCAGAGUCUUCGACAUGCUAAAACACAUUUUGGAGCUCCAACUGGGGGGUGCUUAAUAAAACCUUUGGCAAACUUUCUAGCAACAAAGGUGUAGUUUUUUGGAAUACACUGGAUAUAGCUGUUCUACGAGCUGAAAUGUGAUUUCCUUGUCUUCUCUCAUUGCUUUUCAUCUCCAGCUGCUCUUCUUGUGUAGACAGUGGGAGGACAGCAGUGUGGUACUCUGGAUUCAAGAACAGGAAGCUCUAAAUCUCAGCACAAGACUUUGGGUCCAACUCUUUACUUCCUCAGCACACGUGCUGGCCAGGCCCCACUUGCCCCUGGCGAGGCCCAUCUCUACAGUCUGCACCAUCCAGGCCUCCCGUCCUCCGACUUCCAGCUGGGUUUGGCCAAUGGACAGCAGCGUUGGGAGACCAGUGGUGGGCAGCGGGGACGAGGGGGCAGGGUGGUCAGCACCCCCCUUGUACUGCAGUGUUUGGACCCUCUCCGGCUCCAGCUGUCUCACGUUCUGGGUAACUCUCUCCCUCCUCUUUCUCUUUUGACCCAGGGGUGAUAAUGGCUCCGAGCUGUCGCUAAUCCCUGGAGGUUUCAUCAUCUCGUGUUGUUCCUUUAGCUCUGUCCACACCUCUGUAAAUCGUCAUUCCUUAAACUCUCUUCAGUUAAACCCCUGAGUAUACCACCUGUUUCCUGCUGGAUCCCUGACAACACAGAACUUCAGUCUCCUCACAAAAUGCGGAUAGUGACCCCUCUCGCGGGGCUGUUGAGAGCAUUAGCCAAAGUUCACGAGCGUGCAGAGCUCCCAGCUCAGAGCCUGGAGUGCAGCAGGCUCACCAGAUGAGACGACGUCCCUGGGCCUGCUCCCUUCUGCCAACAGCCACACAUCUGGGAUCUUCCUGCUCCUGGCCAGUGACCCCAGCCGAAGUGGGCAAAGGGAAGCAAUGCCGGGCCCCAGUCUGAAGACACAGAGCUGCCACAGGGACCCGGGCUCCAGUCAGCGGCCACAGAACAGGGCUGACCUGCAGGUCCCAUCACAGGGCCACGGAACAGAGGGUCCUAACAAGGACCGGAGCGGCGAGGGUCGGGGUGUCCACGUGCUCUCGCUCCUCCUGGAAGAAAGCUGCCUUUGUACUGGGCCCGAUGGUCUGAGCGCCCACACUGGCCCAUUGUUCCCGAGGAGGAAGUCGUUCCAGUUCCCCCUCUACUCCUGGUCCCCCAUUAAAGUGAGCAAGGGGCCUGGAA